rnacentral:lncRNA from 1 species
CCCCCCCCCCCCCCCCCCCCCCCCCCCCCCCCCCCCCCCCCCCCCCCCCCCCCCCCCCCCCCCCCCGCUGCCGAGCCUUCCGCCGCCCGCCGGGCCCGGCGCUCCCGGCUGUGCCCCUUCUCCCCGUUGUUUGCCUACGAAAUCCCUUCCUUCGACACCCAACCUUCGCCCCCCUCUUCCUGUCUCCGCGCCAGGAAAACUGAGGCUUGCCCAGCAGGCCGAGGCCCCCCCCCCCCCCCCCCCCCCCCCCCCCCCCCCCCCCCCCCCCCCCCCCCCCCCCCCCCCCCCCCCCCCCCCCGAAAACUGAGGCUUGCCCAGCAGGCCGAGGCAGGGGCUGCCAUUGCUGCCUUUGCCAAAGCCACCCCAGUGUGCCGUGACACCAAAACUAACCAGGAAAAGGCCGAAAUUGUGGAUUAUGGACUUCUAGCGAAUCAGGGCUGCUGCUUGCUUCCCAGGAUGCAGAGCCAUUUGGGAAUAGCAAAGCUGUGCUUUCAACUCUUCCCCGUCGAAGUUAAAGGAAAGACCAUUGAUAAGUCUGAUGGAGAGUAAAUUAAGCUCCAGAUCCUGCAUCCAGCCUGCAAAGAGAACUAGAACCACCCAGCAUAGAAGGCACUGUACAUGACAGUGAAGUUCAGCUUCUGCAGAAGAUUUGUGGAGUAUCAAUGUCCAAUUCUAGACACUUGCACUGAUAAAAGAUUCCAGGUUUGAGUCUGAGAGACAGAGGCCAAAUAGAAGCCAAAUAAAAAUGUAUCUAUAUCAUCUGUGGUAUAUCUGAAUUUCCCCCUUUCUCCACCACCACCCCAAGAAUUACUCUUCAGUAAUUCAAGUUUGCAAGGCAAGAGUCAUUGUCUGUCCUCAGGUGAGGACAGGAAUUAACACCUGUUUGCAGAGACCUUUUUUCUGUUAAAAGACAACCAGCUGGAGGCCUCACCCAAGAAGAGGAAGAUCAGGAUUUUACCAUCUUUCAGCCUGAGGAAGUCCAAGCUCAAAGCUUUUACAUUUCAAGUGCCUCAACUACCAGGGCUGUUGUCACAUCCUGAGUUAACCUGCUGCUGUCCUAGCAAGUGUGUUUCUGGAUCAUGUCAGGACCCUACAGAGACUCAGCAGCCACUUUUUCCUAGUGGUAGGGCUGUUGCACUCAAGGCUAACUCUAUUGUGACCUUGGAUCAGAGAGCUGGGUGGGACAGAAGUGUAAGGCACCUCAAUGGGAUCCUAAUCCUCUUGGCUUGGGAACUGCAUUUCAGCCCCAGUUGUUGCCCCAGCUUCUUGCUGGAGCUGCAUGGACAGCAUGCUUGUGCCUGACCAUAAACUCACCAGUCCUGAGCCUGACCUCACUUUCAACCUGUCCUUGGACUGGUCUGAUGAUCUGGACUCGUGGUUGAACAUGGUCACUGUCACCAGACCUGCUUUGCUGGUUAGAGGGCUAUGGGAUGGGGCUGUGUCAGGGUGGGCACUGCCCUACCAACUUCACUUGGCUGCCAGCUCGGCUGAUUUCACAGAGCAACCCCCUCUUGCAGCUGUCUGACACUCAGUGUGUGGUUAAAAGGUUGUUAUGUUUAUGGAAGAUUUGUCCAUAUUGUCUGCCUUAGUUUAAUCAGCUUCAUAUAUCUGAGUGACUGCUCCAUUAAUAACCUGUGCUUCCAAAGGGUGCAUGGUACAUUGCUUUGUACAUGCACCACAGCCUAUUAUGAGGCUUAAUUCAAAAAGUAAUAUAUACAUCUAAAUUAUAGAUAAUUUACAAUUUGCAUUUUAAAAAGUAUUUAGAAAUGAGUCGUAAAGAAAAUAUGUGAGGUUUAAUACCUGUAGUAAUAGGUAUAAUAAUAGAAUAUAAUAAUGUGAGUUUAGGUAUCAAAGCAACAAGCAUUGCAACAUCUAGAUUUUCUUUGGUUCUCAAGAAAGAGACAUGAGAUGCUGGAAAUUCACAGUUAGAAUUAGAGCAAGGCCCAGGAAACUCAACACAGCGUGUGUGAAACUAUCCAGGCCUAUUCCCCCCACCAUGAGGGAAAGGAAGAGGAUUCACACACUUAAUCUCAUCUCUCAGUUACAAUUUAUAUACUCUCCUGAAGAUUCUUCCAAGGCUGGUGUGUAAACACUUUCUGUAAAUCAGAUAGAGGCCACUGCUACUUUUAAAACAAGCAGAAGAAAAAAAGGGUUUCUGAGCUACUAAUCCUUUUUUCAAGCAGUAUGUGAGUUUAUCAUAUACACAAACAACAACUGAGAUGCCAAGUUUCAAAUUCACCUUAUGCUUUGAGAAUUGAGCAGUGUAUCCAUUUCUUCUAGGCCCACAAGCCAAACAUAUACUUUCGUUUUACUGCACAGUUUACAUACAAAAGCUUACAAGGUGUCUGGGUAGUUGUGUCUCAGAAACUGUUUCACUUUAUAGAAAAUAGUAUUUUACUUUAGUAAUUGGAGAACAUAAACAUGAAUUUGUAUCUCUAAUUCUUUUAUUAAGGACUUUAUGAAGGAGGGGAGAACUCUGGGGCCUGUUUGAGUUUCAAAAGACUCUAUUACUUUUAUCUAGUGACUACCUGGCUAAUAGGAGAUACUGAAGUAAUCUUGGAUUUAGGCCUGCAAAUUCUUCAGAAACCCUAUUUUUAAAUGUUUUUUACUUAUUCUGGCUAAUUUUUUUCCUUAUUAUUUGUGUAGCCAUACUUCAAGGUGUCCUGUUACAAAUUCCUUUAAAGUGUAACAGUUUAUCUCCCUCUAUGUGCCUAAACGCAGCCAAACCAGGCUACUGGAUGUGCUGCUGUUUCUCUGGUCUGGGUGUUUAUAGGAGUGAGUGAAGGUCUAGGCGCUGGAAGCUUGAUUCAGUUGCUUAAACUUUUUGUCUGCCACUCAAGGAGGCUGGAAUAUCUUCAUGUCAGAUACGACACAACACCUAGAGGAGGCCAGUGCUUCUCCAGACUGGUGGCUGGAGGCCAGGUGGGAAUUUUAAAUGGCACUAGACUUAGAGGUGACAGCUGAGACCUGGGGGUAUGUUUCAGGUUCAGAGACAUAAUUUUAGGUGUCUACUUGCAGGUCUUUACAGAUCAGAUAAGCCUCCAUUAUCAUCAAGGGAGAUCAAGAUCUCAAUUUAAUUGCAGAGAGAGGCAUUUCAGAUGCCCAAGGUAGUUUUCAGAUUGCCCCAGAUACCUUUUUUCUGGUUUUCUGGAAUGGCAGCUAGAGGCUGACUCUGCUCUUAAGUAGAGGUGUAUCUGCCAGCUCCAGAAAGGCCAUACCCUGCUUUGUCUCAGAUGGAACUAGGGUGCUGUGUGAAGGCACCUCUGAGAUGAGUUCCAAGUCAGUACUGUCCUUAGAGUGAGCAGAUUUAUUCAGUUGAUGGGAUGAAUAAAUCUCCAUAAGAUGAGCUCAAAACUAAGCUCCAUCACUGAACAACAACAUUAAAAGCACAGUUGUCUCACCUUUUGUAAAAUUCCUUACUAUCCCUCUUAGCUCUGUACACAUUAUUCUUCACCGAUACGCUCAAUAAAGCAUCUAUUACCUUCCCACCAGUAUUUUGUACAUCCCAGUUUAGCCCCUCUCCCCCAUGAGCAAAUUACAGCUAUCUAGAGGAUCCCAUCUUUCUCCCUCCCUCCCUUUCUCCCAGCUCUCUCACAUUGUACCCAGCCUUGGGUUACUUUAUUCCUUUUACCCACACUGACCUUCAGGGUUCUUCACAUCCUCUGCUGCUCUGUGUGCCAUGGCUUUCAGAUCUGACUCACACGACCUUCACUUUGUGUACCAAAGCAAGGGAGUUGUUGAUUUUCCUUACAAAGAGAGGCCAGAAAUAUCACCACUAUCUUUUCACUACUUUUUCUUCUCUGAAAAGGGGACACAAUAUUAAUCUCAUAUUUAAACAUCUUCUUUUUGCAUAUUUUGUAUCAGAUUGCUGAAGUUCAGAUGGGUUCUAAGCAGUUCACUAAUGUAUACUCCUUGAGUUCUUAUUCUUUUAAUUAUUCACCUCGAUAUUUCUUGGCUUUUCUUACUGAAUGGGACUUUACAGUGUUUCCAUUAUUGGGGCAUCAAACACAAAAUUCAAUCAGUAACUGAGGGUUUUACAGGGUGUAAUACUGCAUUUGAAGAGUUUAUUAAAGUUUUCAGGGAGGGAAAAGGGAAGCUCAAUUUCAGAAGGAAACUGUGUGGUUAUUCUGCAGGAUAUAUUUACCAAUGAUAUUGUUGAGGUGACUUUGGAGGUGCAUGUGUUAAAAUUAGCAAUGAACAAGCAAAGUUUUGCCAAUAUUGAUUUUACAUUGCAAGGGAUGCAGCAUGACAGAUCUAAAUGAAGUUUGACAUAAAUAGUUUGAAGUUAGGAUAUUUAGGACCCUCAGAAACCUUGAAUUCCCUCUUAUGUGUGUAUGAACAUGUGUCAUGUAUGUGAGCUAACCAUCAAAAUAUUUCACUUUGAAAAUCUUGCCUGAAAAAUCAGGGUGUCCACAGCUGCUGUAGAAGUCAGGCGUUAUGAAGGGUUAAGCCUUACUGUGUGGGGUUUAUUCUCAUCCAGAGUCUGAGGUUAAGGCAAGGAGGAAAGCUGUUAAUAUUUCAGAUUUAGAAUUUAGCACUGCUGCCUAUCAAGUCCUCUGCUUUU